rnacentral:tRNA from 1 species
GUCCCCUUCGUCUAGUGGCCCAGGACACCGCCCUUUCACGGCGGUAACAGGGGUUCGACUCCCCUAGGGGACGCNA